rnacentral:rRNA from 1 species
UUCGCAAUGCCCGAAAGGGUGACGAUGCGACGCCGCGUGAGCGAAGAAGGCCCUAGGGUUGUAAAGCUCUGUCGAGGGUUAUGAAAUAUAGAUGGGUUAAUACCCCAUUUAUUUGACAAAAGCCCAAAAGGAAGCCACGGCUAACUCUGUGCCAGCAGCCGCGGUAAUACAGAGGUGGAGAGCGUUGUUCGGUAUUAUUGGGCGUAAAGAGCACGUAGGUGGUUUUGUAAGUCAGGUGUGAAAGCCUUCUGUUCAAAGGAAGAACGGCAUCUGAAACUGCAGAUCUUGAGUGUAGGAGGGGAGAGUGGAACUUCUGGUGGAGCGGUGAAAUGCGUAGAUAUCAGAAGGAACGUCGGCGGCGAAAGCGACUCUCUGGCCUAUUACUGACACUGAGUGUGCGAAAGUUAGGGGAGCAAACGGGAUUAGAUACCCCGGUAGUCCUAACCGUAAACGAUGGGCACUAAGUAGAGGGGUUUU